rnacentral:siRNA from 1 species
GCAGCCAUGUGGUGAGCACA